UACGGGGGGGGCAAGCGUUGUUCGGAAUUACUGGGCGUAAAGGGCGCGUAGGCGGCCUGCUAAGUCGGACGUGAAAUCCCUCGGCUCAACCGGGGAACUGCGUCCGAUACUGGUGGGCUCGAAUCCGGGAGAGGGAUGUGGAAUUCCAGGUGUAGCGGUGAAAUGCGUAGAUAUCUGGAGGAACACCGGUGGCGAAGGCGGCAUCCUGGACCGGCAUUGACGCUGAGGCGCGAAAGCCAGGGGAGCAAACGGG
rnacentral:rRNA from 1 species